rnacentral:rRNA from 1 species
GAUGAACGCUGGCGGCGUGCCUAAUACAUGCAAGUCGAGCGAACAGAUGAGGAGCUUGCUCCUCUGACGUUAGCGGCGGACGGGUGAGUAACACGUGGAUAACCUACCUAUAAGACUGGGAUAACUUCGGGAAACCGGAGCUAAUACCGGAUAAUAUAUUGAACCGCAUGGUUCAAUAGUGAAAGACGGUUUUGCUGUCACUUAUAGAUGGAUCCGCGCCGCAUUAGCUAGUUGGUAAGGUAACGGCUUACCAAGGCAACGAUGCGUAGCCGACCUGAGAGGGAGGUGAGACAACACGGGACAGAGACACGGUGAAGACGACAAGGGGAGGGAGCAGCGGGGAAGUGGGGAGAAUGGGCGAAAGCAUGAAAGAGUAAGGCAGAGAAAAAGAAAAAGUGCGUAGGAUAGUAAACCGAUGUUAUUAGGAAAGAAAAAAAGGGGCAGGAACAACGGCAGCCCUGAAGGGACCGAAUAAGAAAGCAACGGCUAACUUCGUG